rnacentral:rRNA from 1 species
GAUGAACGCUGGCGGCGUGCCUAAUACAUGCAAGUCGAGCGAACAGAUGAGGAGCUUGCUCCUCUGACGUUAGCGGCGGACGGGUGAGUAACACGUGGAUAACCUACCUAUAAGACUGGGAUAACUUCGGGAAACCGGAGCUAAUACCGGAUAAUAUAUUGAACCGCAUGGUUCAAUAGUGAAAGACGGUUUUGCUGUCACUUAUAGAUGGAUCCGCGCCGCAUUAGCUAGUUGGUAAGGUAACGGCUUACCAAGGCGACGAUGCGUAGCCGACCUGAGAGGGUGAUCGGCCACACUGGAACUGAGACACGGUCCAGACUCCUACGGGAGGCAGCAGUAGGGAAUCUUCCGCAAUGGGCGAAAGCCUGACGGAGCAACGCCGCGUGAGUGAUGAAGGUCUUCGGAUCGUAAAACGCUGUUAUUAGGGAAGAACAAAUGUGUAAGUAACUAUGCACGUCUGGACGGUACCUAAUCAGAAAGCCACGGCUAACUACGU